AUAUAGUGCACUACUUUGGACCAGGGCCCUUUCCCACUACACUACUUUGGACCAGGACCCUUUCCCUAUAUAGUGCACUACUUUGGACCAGGGCCCUUUCCCUAUAUAGUGCAACACUUUGGACCAGGACCCUACAUAAGUAAGUAGCCUUGUCUGAGCCAGAAAAGCCCAUAAGGCAGGAGCCCAUCUCCUGUUUCUUUAGCUUAAGGCAGCUUGAUGUACAAGUACACCUCCCGCACUAGUCUUCCGCAGGUCCUAUAGGCCUUGGUCAAAAGUAUCACACUAGAUCUGAAAUAGGGUGUCCUUUGGGACGUACUGUAGCGUCAUCAGCAAGGUGACAGUUUGAACUUCUGUCUAGGAAGCUAGCUAGUUAAUGAUGGUGCACACAGAGACACUAAACACAUCAAUAUACUGGCAUCAACAGGAUCUAGAGGCAUCAUCAUGUUCUAGAGAAUAUUUAUAUUCAAUAUAUUCUACACAUAUGUUACCUUAGUUUAUUUUUUUUAAAAUAUUAUUCCCAUUGGAAAAAUACUAAGUAAAAUAAGAAACUCUUUUUACAGGUCGUUCGGUGGUGGUGGGGGCUGGGGGGGCUGGGAGGGGCACAUGCGUUCAUUGUUGUGCAAAAGAUCCAAACCUUUAUCUUUCUUUAAGUGAAGAAGAAAGAGAUUUGAAAGAAAAUAACACUUAAUUCCAGAUUGGUUCUUUCCCUUGGCUUGGAUUGGCAAGCAGACCCGACCCAUCACAACACUAGAGGUAUUCAACAGAUCUGUCUGUCUUUCUUCCCCUUGGCUUGGAUUGGCAAGUAGACCCGACCCAUCACAACACUAGAGGUAUUCAACAGAUCUGUCUGUCUUUCUUCCCCUUGGCUUGGAUUGGCAAGUAGACCCGACCCAUCACAACACUAGAGGUAUUCAACAGAUCUGUCUGUCUUUCUUCCCCUUGGCUUGGAUUGGCAAGUAGACCCGACCCAUCACAACACUAGAGGUAUUCAACAGAUCUGUCUUUCUGGUGAGGAGGGAUGGGAAAUAAGGGAGAUCUGUCUGUCUUUAUGGUGGGGAAGGGAGUUCUGUCUGUCUUUCUGGUGAGGAGGGAUGGGAAAUAAGGGAAAUUUGUCUGUCUUUCUGGUGAGGAGGAACGGGGAAGAAGGGAGAUCUGUCUGUCUUUAUGGUGAGGAGGAACGGGGAAGAAGGGAGUUCUGUCUGUCUUUCUGGUGAGGAGGAACGGGGAAGAAGGGAGUUCUGUCUGUCUUUCUGCUGAGGAGGAACGGGAAGAAGGGAGAUCUGUCUGUCUUUCUGCUGAGGAGGAACGGGGAAGAAGGGAGAUCUGUCUGUCUUUAUGGUGAGGAGGAACGGGGAAGAAGGGAGAUCUGUCUGUCUUUCUGCUGAGGAGGAACGGGGAAGAAGGGAGA